rnacentral:rRNA from 1 species
UACGUAGGGGGCAAGCGUUGUCCGGAAUCAUUGGGCGUAAAGCGCGUGUAGGCGGCCAGGUAAGUCCGUUCUGAAAGCCCGGGGCUCAACCCCGGGAGGCGGAUGGAUACUGCUUGGCUCGAGUCCGGAAGAGGCGAGUGGAAUUCCCGGUGUAGCGGUGAAAUGCGCAGAUAUCGGGAGGAACACCAAUGGCGAAGGCAGCUCGCUGGGACGGUACUGACGCUGAGGUGCGAAAGC